rnacentral:tRNA from 1 species
AGCAGGAUGGCCUAGUGGCAAGAGCACGGGCUUGGGAGUCAGAGAUCAUGGGUUCUAAUCCCAGUUCUGCCA